AAGAGGCUUUAUUGUUAGCUUAUUACAGGGCAUCCUAGCACUUUACAUGAUUACUCAAGGCAACAAGGUGCCCUUCAAACCUGUUCACAUGCUUUUUGCUGCAGUUGCUGUGCACGGCUGUUCUCUCCUAUUUGGGGUACGGAAGAAAUGGGCUCUGAACCAGCUGGCUUCUCUUUGUUUCAAGCAGGAACUGACCCUGAAAAUGUGCAGUACUGCACAGAUUUAGGCCCUGUUCAUGGUACUGGAUAUGACCAUUUACUUCAACAGGACAAGGAUCUCACUGGUAAUAAUGCAGCUACAGUUUAAGUCAGAUGGACUCCAAACUUCAUGGAUUCCAAGGUGCAAGACUCUACACUUGCUUUUAUUAAACCUCAUCCGGCUUAUUGCUACCCGGCUCUCCAGUCUGUCCAGGUCUUGCUGAAUGGCAGCACAGCCUUCCAGUGUGUCAGCCACUCGUUUCAGGAAGCAGCUCAGCCACUCGCUCUCUCUCUCUGAUACGGUAUGGGGGAGAGAAUUAGAAAGGUCAUUUACACUAAAAAGGACUUGCAAGUAUUCAGUAGCAUACCAAAAAAAAAGAAGGUCCUUGAAGCAAGCUUAAGAGGGAUCCUGUCAGCAGGUUUGACAGGCUUAUUUCAGUGCGUC
ensembl:lncRNA